GUUCGAGCGUCAUUACAACCCUCAAGCUCGGCUUGGUGUUGGGCAACGUCCUGCUGCGACGGGCCUGAAAAUCAGUGGCGAUCCCGCCCGGCUUCAAGCGUAGUAAAUCUAUGGCGCUUUGGAGGCCGUGCGACGAUCCGCCGGAAACUCCACAUAUCACGUUUGACCUCGGAUCAGGUAGGGAUACCCGCUGAACUUAA
rnacentral:misc_RNA from 1 species